GACGAACGCUGGCGGCGUGCCUAAUACAUGCAAGUAGAACGCACAGUUUAUACCGUAGCUUGCUACACCAUAAACUGUGAGUUGCGAACGGGUGAGUAACGCGUAGGUAACCUGCCUGGUAGCGGGGGAUAACUAUUGGAAACGAUAGCUAAUACCGCAUAAUAUUGAUUAUUGCAUGAUAAUUGAUUGAAAGAUGCUAUUGCAUCACUACCAGAUGGACCUGCGUUGUAUUAGCUAGUAGGUGAGGUAACGGCUCACCUAGGCGACGAUACAUAGCCGACCUGGGAGGGUGAUCGGCCACACUGGGACUGGGACACGGCCCAGACGCCUGCGGGAGGCAGCAGUAGGGAAUCUUCGGCAAUGGACGAAAGUCUGACCGAGCAACGCCGCGUGAGUGAAGAAGGUGUUCGGAUCGUAAAGCUCUGUUGUAAGAGAAGAACGGGUGUGAGAGUGGAAAGUUCACACUGUGACGGUAUCUUACCAGAAAGGGACGGCUAACUACGUG
rnacentral:rRNA from 1 species